UGGGGCGUAGCUCAAUCUCUCUCUUGGCAGAGCGCCUGUUUGAGAACAGGAAGAUGGUCGGUUCGAAUCCGUCCGCUCCAAUCA
rnacentral:tRNA from 1 species